rnacentral:rRNA from 1 species
CCCGAAAGAGAGCGCCGAUCCUCCCUCGACGCGACCCCAGGUCAGGCGGGGUUACCCGCUGAAUUUAAGCAUAUCAUAAGCGGGAGAGG